rnacentral:rRNA from 1 species
GAUGAACGCUGGCGGCGUGCCUAAUACAUGCAAGUCGAGCGAACAGACGAGGAGCUUGCUCCUUUGACGUUAGCGGCGGACGGGUGAGUAACACGUAGGUAACCUACCUAUAAGACUGGGAUAACUUCGGGAAACCGGAGCUAAUACCGGAUAAUAUUUCGAACCGCAUGGUUCGAUAGUGAAAGAUGGCUUUGCUGUCACUUAUAGAUGGACCGGCGCCGCAUUAGCUAGUUGGUAAGGUAACGGCUUACCAAGGCAACGAUACGUAGCCGACCUGAGAGGGUGAUCGGCCACACUGGAACUGAGACACGGUCCAGACUCCUACGGGAGGCAGCAGUAGGGAAUCUUCCGCAAUGGGCGAAAGCCUGACGGAGCAACGCCGCGUGAGUGAUGAAGGUCUUCGGAUCGUAAAACUCUGUUAUUAGGGAAGAACAAAUGUGUAAGUAACUGUGCACGUCUUGACGGUACCUAAUCAGAAAGCCACGGCUAACUACGUG